ACUCCUACGGGAGGCAGCAGUAGGGAAUCAUCCGCAAUGGGCGAAAGCCUGACGGUGCAACGCCGCGUGAGUGAUGAAGGUUUUCGGAUCGUAAAGCUCUGUUGACAGGGAAGAACCCACGCCAGUCGAACAGGCUGGCGUGCUGACGGUACCUGUCCAGAAAGCCCCGGCUAACUACGUGCCAGCAGCCGCGGUAAUACGUAGGGGGGCAAGCGUUGUCCGGAAUUAUUGGGCGUAAAGGGCACGCAGGCGGUUUCGUCAGUCCGAUGUGACAGGCCACGGCUCAACCGUGGAAGGGCCAUUGGAAACUGCGAAACUUGAGGACAGAAGAGGAGAGUGGAAUUUCCACGUGUAGCGGUGAAAUGCGUAGAUAUGUGGAGGAACACCAGUGGCGAAGGCGACUCUCUGGUCUGUACCCUGACGCUGAGGUGCCGAAAGCAUGGGGAGCAAACAGGAUUAGAUACCCUGGUAGUCCAUGCCGUAAACGCUGAGUGCUAGGUGUUAGGGGUUUCGAUACCCGUAGUGCCGAAGCUAACGCAUUAAGCACUCCGCCUGGGGAGUACGACCGCAAGGUUGAAACUCAAAGGAAUUGACGG
rnacentral:rRNA from 1 species